UACGGAGGGGGCAAGCGUUAUUCGGAAUCAUUGGGCGUAAAGGGCGCGUAGGCGGCCUGGCAAGUCAAAGGUGAAAUCCCUCGGCCCAACCGAGGAACUGCCUUUGAAACUGCAAGCUUGAGGCCGGGAGAGGGUAACGGAAUUCCCAGUGUAGCGGUGAAAUGCGUAGAUAUUGGGAGAACACCAGUGGCGAAGGCGGCUACCUGGACCGGGUUCU
rnacentral:rRNA from 1 species